AUUGAACGCUGGCGGCAGGCUUAACACAUGCAAGUCGAGCGGGGAAAGGUAGCUUGCUACCUGACCUAGCGGCGGACGGGUGAGUAAUGCUUAGGAAUCUGCCUAUUAGUGGGGGACAACAUUCCGAAAGGAAUGCUAAUACCGCAUACGCCCUACGGGGGAAAGCAGGGGAUCUUCGGACCUUGCGCUAAUAGAUGAGCCUAAGUCAGAUUAGCUAGUUGGUGGGGUAAAGGCCUACCAAGGCGACGAUCUGUAGCGGGUCUGAGAGGAUGAUCCGCCACACUGGGACUGAGACACGGCCCAGACUCCUACGGGAGGCAGCAGUGGGGAAUAUUGGACAAUGGGCGCAAGCCUGAUCCAGCCAUGCCGCGUGUGUGAAGAAGGCCUUUUGGUUGUAAAGCACUUUAAGCGAGGAGGAGGCUACUUGGAUUAAUACUCUAGGAUAGUGGACGUUACUCGCAGAAUAAGCACCGGCUAACUCUGUGCCAGCCGCCGCAGUAAGAC
rnacentral:rRNA from 1 species